rnacentral:rRNA from 1 species
UACGGGGGGGGGCAAGCGUUGUUCGGAAUUACUGGGCGUAAAGGGCGCGUAGGCGGCCUGCUAAGUCACACGUGAAAUCCCUCGGCUCAACCGGGGAACUGCGUGUGAUACUGGCGGGCUUGAAUUCGGGAGAGGGAUGUGGAAUUCCAGGUGUAGCGGUGAAAUGCGUAGAUAUCUGGAGGAACACCGGUGGCGAAGGCGGCAUCCUGGACCGAGAUUGACGCUGAGGCGCGAAAGCUAGGGGAGCAAACGGGG